rnacentral:rRNA from 1 species
CCUACGGGUGGCAGCAGUAAGGAAUAUUGGGCAAUGGACGCAAGUCUGACCCAGCCAUGCCGCGUGGAGGAUGAAGGUCCUCUGGAUUGUAAACUUCUUUUAUCUGGGAAGAAACCCAACUUUUCUAAGGUGGUUGACGGUACCAGAUGAAUAAGCACCGGCUAACUCCGUGCCAGCAGCCGCGGUAAUACGGAGGGUGCAAGCGUUAUCCGGAUUCACUGGGUUUAAAGGGUGCGUAGGUGGGCUGGUAAGUCCGUGGUGAAAUCCCCGAGCUUAACUUGGGAACUGCCGUGGAUACUAUCAGUCUUGAAUGCUGUGGAGGUAAGCGGAAUAUGUCAUGUAGCGGUGAAAUGCUUAGAUAUGACAUAGAACACCAAUAGCGAAGGCAGCUUACUACACGGUUAUUGACACUGAGGCACGAAAGCGUGGGGAGCAAACAG